AUCUCUCAUCUCUGGGUAAAACACCACCGAGACAUCACCACACACAACACCUAUGUCACUUCGGCGAACUCCAGACCACCACUGACUACCAGACUCUCUCUCCCUCUUUCCUUACCUCCCUCUUUCGUCUCUCUCAAUCUCUGCAAGUGCAGGGAAAAAACAUCAUCACCACCGCCCUUUUUCAUGGCAAAACUCCAUUAUGCAACUAAGGUAAGCCUCAAGAUCACUCGGAUUCUUCUUUUAAUCAUGAUUUGAUAUCGUUUAUAACCUUUCUACUUGAUUUGGAGGAAGGUUAAUGUUGAAAGGAUGAAGGGGAGACUUUCCCAAUUUUCUGAGAAGUGAAAUCCGUGACCACUUGGCCACUUUCAGGCCAUUUUUCCGGCCAACACCAACCAUAAUUUGGUUCCACUUUGGUAUGGUCUUGUCCCUACAUUUCUAUCUACAAAUUGGCUUUUGAAUCAUCGAGUUUGGUGAAGAAUUGAGCUAGGAAUGAGCUCUGAAAGUUAGCCUAAAAACCUGCAAAAUCUGGAAAUCGUGAAGAAGGCAUGUGGGCUCACGUGGUGGCCGACGCGUGUAGCCACCUUGUGGCGGUGUGUGGAGCAACCCGAGGUCCCUCCUUAGGUUUCUCAACAUGCUGAAUCCAAAUCCACCCUCCGUUUUUUGAAAUUUAAUCAUUUUAAAAUAGUUCAUUUAUUAGUCGUACUUUGUACUAAAACACGUAUUUACAUUAGUUCAUUAUAUAUACGUAAAUGGUUUCAUUUCUAGGUGAAACACAUCGCAAGGAUUUUCGAUGCCUGCAAGGCGGGUUUGACCGGACUACAUGUCUUGUGAGUGAGUCUUUGCUUUUAAAUAUUAUAUUUAUUUAGUUUCCAUUUAUGUACUUAAUAAAAAAAAUUUCUACGUUAUGCCUAGAUUAGCUUAACAUUUAUAAGAAUUAGCGCAUUGAUGGAAUUUAUGAAAUUAUGCUACGUCCUAUAGGAUGCACAAGUAUGUGCAUUAUUAUGGGAUGCCUUAAUGAUAGUUACGGAAAUGAAUAGUAUUAUGUUGACUAGAAUUGUUGAUUUAUCGUUGCAUGAUCAUAUUUAUGUAACUGGUCAUCAUGCAUGCUACAUUGGUGUUAGUACUCGCUCAGGUCAGGGCCAGUCUUCACAUGUAUGUUCCCAUCGUAUCAUACGCUCACUUUGGAUCCAUUAUAGGUGCCAGUCUUGUCCUAGAUUGCUAUAUGCAAUUAGGACUCGUAUGUGACGCACAUAAUGCCAGUUUUCACGUGAUUGUAGUACUAGAGUAUAAAUCAUUAUUACACCCAAUCUUGUUCAUGUUGCAACACCUCUGCAUGAACUCGUUUGUUAGCAUAUGUCGAUGAACACCCGAUAUUAUACAUUCAUUUAUGCAAGAUAUUGUGAUUACUAGAUGUUAUAUGCAGAAUACUAUGAUUUAUUGUAUUUCUGAAAUAUUGUUGGUUAUGGUAACUGUUUUCAUACUAUAUAUAGCGUGUGUGUGUGUGUAUACAUACAUAUAUAUUUGUAUAUAUUUGGAAACUAUACUUAUUUUACGGCGAGGGGUUAUACGUUUUCAAAAAGGUUUGACAAGACUUUAUUUUCAGGCCUACUCACCCUUAUUUUUUGCCCCUCCAGGUCUUUGUGACAAUGCUCUUGUGUCGACGAGGAUUUCUGGCAAAAGUUGAUAUAGGACUACUUCCGAUGGUAUAAUUCUUAUCUAAUUUUAUUAUACUUUACUUAUGCUCUGACAUCACAUAUAAAAUGGAUCCAAUCCUACUCACAUGUGCACUCUUGCAUUUAGUCACUUUUAGGUUUAAAUUUGUUCACAUUUUUCACAUCACUACACUUUAUGGCUUCAUCACCUUCGAAUGUCGGCCAUCACAGCUUGAUUCGGAGUUCAUAUGGACCUUCUAGGUUGAGGUGUGUCAGUUGUAGACAUUUGAACCAACUUUUUAGUGUCUUAAUGCAUGGCCAGCCAUUAAUAGCCUUCAUUGAGAACUUUAUGCGCCAAGAAAUGGCCUUUACAGUGAUUUUCACAAAAGCCUUCAUGGAUUAAGUGUCGAACAUUUAGGUCAUCAGGAAGCAUCAUCUAGUGGAGAUGUUGUCUUGUAAAGGAUAUGUGAACAAGCAUGUUGUUUGACAUGGAGUAGCAUGUUGCCUUCGUUUGAAGAUUUCUCGAUUCUAGCCUGUCUACAGGGAGUGUUCCAUUGACUAAGUAGUCGAUCAUAGGAUCUUGCCAGCUCAGGUUUGUGUUGAUAUGUGUCGCCUUAGUUGUUGAUUCCAUGUCUAUGCUUGGCUUCUCCAGGUACUCCACUGUAAUGGAGCAUUUGAGCUGAUAGUCAAGGUUGAAGCUUAGCUUGCUAAUGCGUCCACAUGGGCAUUCUCUACUUGUGGAACCUGAGUAAGGGUGUAACUCUAAAAUGUUGCAAACUGUUUUCGUAUCUUCUCCAAGUAUUACGCCAUCAUUGAAUGUUUUGUCAUGUACUCUUCUAAGGCUUGGUUGGUGAUAAGCUCAAAAUCUAAAUAGAUUACGAGCUUCUUCACCGCUAAGUCUUUUGUCAGCGGAGGUCUGCUAGCAGUGCUUCAUACUCUGCUUUGUUAUUGGUCGCUUUUAAGUAUAUAGUGAUCACUUACUCGAGCAGUAAUCGUCAGAGGUGAUGAGGACAAGACCUACUCCCGAUCCCUGGUUAUUAGAGGAACCGUCAACAUGUAAACGCAUAAAUCUCAUGUGGGUAAGGCCGAUGUGCUUCUUCAUAGCAAGUAGGGAACCCCUUUGUGACUAAGCCUCAUGCGUCGUGAAGAAACUAGAGUCAAUAACCUUGCUCACGCCAUCAACAAACUUGGCACAUGUUUUUGUGUCCUCAAGCAAAUUAGGCUUUAACAGCGCACAGAUCUCAGAAAACUCCCAUAAGGUUGGUUUGGCAGGCUGUUCACGGCUACUUAUACAGGCAGACAUUUCAUUCUCAGCAGAAAGGGCCAGCCCUAGCACUGCCUUGGCAGCGGAAUCAUUAUCCUUGCUCUUCACUGCUGCAUGCACCUCCGAAAUUAAACCAAACUUGGGCACAAAAGGCUAUCUCAAAACAAAACUAGACAUAAGGGGCACGACAUAACUCCUCUGCUGCGCAAUCUUGUCAACAACCGUUCUAGUAACCCUCGGGGAAGUAGGUUUCAUAGACUCAUAUCCAGCAGCCUCUUUCUUCCCCCUAGAAGAAGGUCAGUCAAUCACGAACCUCUUAGCAGUGAAUGCAUUCUCACGAGCAGCAGAGGAAGUCUUUGGCUUUUUCUCCACUGACAGCUCUCGAUCGGGCAACGAAGAUCUCUUUCUCCCACCUCCACUAGCAACAGGUUCCACGGUAGCAAUUGGACAAGUGAAUGCCUUACCUUGAUCCUCAUAAUGUCCUCAUGUGGGGGCAGCCCACAUUUUUCCCUACGAAGAGGACUGAGCAGCCAAUGCCAUUCGCGAUAUUCAGCAAUGAUCCCCAAAGCGAUGUGCACAUUCUUCAUGUCUGGAGAAGUCUUGGGAGUUGAACCAAAUUCAGAAUCUAUAAAAAUAGAGGAGGACAAAUCAGAAGGCACCUCAACAAAAGAAAAAAAAAUAGCUUAGGGAUUAAGUAGCCUACUUACCAUCGAUGAAAUGAGUCGGAACGCUCAGCCCGGGCGAAGACUGAGCAAGAAUACACUUCAUGGAGUAGAUCACCUCUUGGAAGAAUCGAGGCAUGGGAAAGGUGAACCCUAACAUAGUUCACGACUACUACCAUCCUUAGCCCAUUUCAUGCAAACCCCAGACAGAGUUGCAUACUUAAACAUCUCGAGGAAGUCUUUGAACUGCUUACCAAAACUUACCUUGACAUGAGUAGCCUUGAAGUAGCCUAGCUUACUUGCAGAUCUGCCCUAGUGAUACAACGGUGGAAUAAAUUCAUCAUUCUUGUGGCUCAAGGAAGACAUGUUCGAAAAAAAAAAAUCCUACAACGAUGCAAGGACAAAAUUGUUAGAAGGCUACUUGAACCUAAUGCACCAGACCCAAGACUUGGGCCUAGUAUGCCAGGCUCUAUCUUUCUCUUAGCCUAAUAGAAGGCAUACUGUCUCCAUCUUUUCCCACGGCCCAAACUAAAUAGAGGAGGGGAGGGUAUCUCCGCGCCUCCCUUUCUUUCUUUCAUGUCUCCAUUGCUGCACGAGCCAAGCAGCUCAAGACCAAUGCCUUAGCGCCAAGGUCCAGCACAUGGGCUCGUGCCCAGCAUCGUCAUCUGGAAGGCCCGACCCUUUGUCCCCCGCGCAGCAGCCAGAGCAUCGAGCCGACUCAGUUGCGCCUUUGCAGCGGCAUGCCAACCCGACCCAGUUGCCACGACAGCAACACAACAGCCUCAUGGCUGCCACUUUUUGCCACCUUUUCGACCCCCGUCAAGCCAAAAUUCAAGCCCUGAGGCUCCAAAAAAUCAAGAAGGAGAAAAUUUAAUUUUUCUUACCUUGGAAAAGAAGAAAAGCAACAUAACACAAUUCUUUGCAAGGGAAAGCAAAGAAGAUUGCUAGGGGAGGGGGAACAAAUAUCCUUUGGUUUUCUCUUUUUCUUACGGGUUUUAAUUGCACUCCAAAUUUAUUUAACCCCCUACUUGAUGCAGACUUAAAUAGGUUUUGGUGGCAAUUAGAUUUCCUUUCCUAGAAGAAUUUAAAUUCCAAAUUAAAGAGGGAAUCUACAUCAAAUUCGGUCAGAAACUCCAUUGCAGCAUUGGAUUCCUACACCUCAUGCCCUUUCCUGCGAGUAGCCCAGCAGGUUUGGGGGCAUCUGUUGAGCCAAAAAUAAUCCUAAAAUUCAUAGAGCUGACACAUGGAUUAUACUUAAAUGCGUAGGGAGCAGUCUCAUUCACCAUGCGCAGCUGAGGUAGAGCAUACAGAGAUCAACGACUACUCAAGACACUGCUGCCCCUAGGAAAAGUCAAAGGUAUUUGUGAUAGGAUAAUUCCUUAUUCUUUACUUAACACACAAAUUAAACCCUCUUUUGACAAUUGUAGUAUAUAUGUAAGUAGGGUAUCGUUCUAGGCCGGGGAUUAGGAGGGAUUGCUAAUCUAUUCUAAAUUAAUUUAAAAAUAUUAAAUAAGACUCAAGGACACAAAAUUAGGCUAAAAACUCUAAUAACUCGAAACACACUUAAAAUGACUCAAAAUAAUGAAAACAAUUAAAUUAAACACUAGGAACUGAAAUGGACGGAAAUUAAAUUAAAAGACUAACAAUAAAGAAAACUAACUAAAUAAUAAUUUAAUAAUGGAUGGGUGUUUGGUUUUGAUGAAAAGUAAAUUAAACUUAAUUAAAUUACAGAAUUGACAAAAACAUAAAAUUAAGGUAAAAUGAUAAAUGACGGACUAGCUAGAGGGUUCUUCUCCACACAUGUUAUACUUGCAUACAAAAUGAUUUCCAGUUGCUUUUCAAUAAGCUAUGAAUACUCAACGCUCCAAAUUAACCGUGAAUUGCACUAAUUAACCCUCAGUUUUUCCACAAGUUAUUGGGUUGGAUGAUUGCAUACGACAACCCAAAACAUUCCCUACAAGUUCCCUACAUGAGUUGCAUAAUAGAGAUACAAGCAAGAAUCAUUAAGUUUUAUGAAAAACAUAAGCAUUGACGGGACACUCGUUACUAUGAUUUGCAUGAAACUUAUGCCAAGAAUUUACUUAACGUGAUUGUGACUAGCAACCUUUACUACUUGUGAAUAUAAGUUCAUAACGAUUAGGUGAAAUUCACUUAUAUUCUAGCAUCAAAUUCAUGCAUGUAAAUUAAGCGUGCACUCUCAACCAACAUACACAAAUCAGUUUUUAUACGAACAGAUAAGUAAAUUGAAUUCACAACUUAUGAAAUCACAACCGAAGGUAAUCAAUUCAUAUUACAAAUAUAUUCAUGGCUUUGAAUUAACCUCUAGCCAAAAUAAGUUUAUUUACACAUUAUUAAAACAGAAAUAAAAGAGGAGUUUGGAAAGAUUAAACCGAAAGAGGAUCUGCUGCGUUCGUGCCCACUUCUCUCUCCCCCUGCCCGCGUCAGUCUUCCUUGCGUCAGUCUCAGCUGCAAGGGCAGCUUCCCCCGUGCUCACCUCUCUCCGCACGUCUCUCUUUGCCAUGCUGCCUUGGGCAGCUUAUUCCUCCCUCGAUCACGCUGCCUAAGCAGCCUUUUUAUUCUCUCGGUUUCACUCCCCCCUGACUUCUCUCGCUGCCAGGCUGCCAAAGGCAGCUCUCUGCCUUCCACCAAUCCCCCCCUUUUCUUUUUUUUCCAAGACAGCCCGUCUUCUUUUUAUUCUCCUGCACCUCUCUCCCGCUGGCCCUGUAUGACUUUUUCUUCCCUUUAUUUUAUGCUGCACACUGGCUUCUGUCGCCCCACUGUCUCCCCGCAAGUCUAUCUUUCUGCUUCUCCCCGCAGCUUCCACUCAACCUGCACACUGUCUCUCUUAUUAUUCUUCUUCUAUCCCACCUAACUCUGUCCACUUCCUCUUAUUUUCUGCCAUUCUUUUUGUUCCACUAUUAUUCCCCCGUGUCUCAUGCCUUGGAUUCUCCUUUUUCUUCUUAUUUUUCCACUGCCCAAAGGCAGCUUCCCUUAUUUUAUUCUUUCACGUUUUGCUGUCUCUUGGAUCCCUUUUUUUUCCAUUUGUUCCAGCUGCAAAGGCAGCUUCUUUAUGUUUCUUUUCUUUACUCACCAACUGCAAAACACUUCAAUUUUAGAUAUAUCAUAUAAUUUCUAAUGCCAUAUAAUUUCUAAUGCAUACCUAAUAAAUUUAGCCUAACUUCCAUGACUUAUAAUCCGUGACAUAAUUCUACCAAUAACCCAUGACAAAAUGAGAACGACUAAAGCAAUUUUCGAUGAAUUUAUUAUUUAAAACUCAUUUGUGCCAUUUUUAUUUUCUUUGCAUAAACAAAUCCUAUAAACACAAAAAUAACGUAAAUAGCUCAAAAUAUAAGGAACUAACUUAAGAAAAGACGAGUGAAUUCGAAGUAAAAAUAUAUAUAAAUAUGAUCCGAUCAAUUCUUAUCAUAAAUAUAUUCCUAAUCAGAAAAGACAUCUUUCAAUUGAGUAAUCCUAAUCCAUUAUUUAGGAUACUUGCCAAAUUACUCAAAGAUAUCUAUUUAAACAAAUCUCUUGGAAUAUUCUCACCCAAAAUACAACCAAGGGCAGGCCACCCCUAAACCCUAGAGGGCCGGCCCAUACUCUUCUCCCCUCCUAUAAAUACACCUUUUAUCUCCAAAAUUCAGGAGGCUUUUUGCUACCCACAAACACUCAUACACAUUCUUUUCAGAAUUCUAACUUUGGUAUCAAAGAUUCUUUGGCCAAAGGCCCCUAUUCAUCAUGGGCGUGUGAUGCUUUUGGCUUUAAUCUCCGGUGUUAUUAUUUUGCAGGUGCAUUUUCGUCAAAGGAAGAGGUGGCGGAAAUUCGCAUCCACAAAUAUAAAUGAUGAUUUUGCUUCAAAAAUUGCAAGAAGACAGUUUCUUAAAAUUGAUAUUUUAAGGAGGUUUGCUUGAAGUGGUUGUAUAAGAUUUUGCUUUUGAUUGUUGGGGUUUAGGUACUAUGUCAUGUCCCCAAGUGUAUGUUUUUCCUCAAGUAGUAUAAUAUAUGUUUGUGUAUUGAAAAAACAAACGUCUUGAAAGUUUGCCCCGGCACCCAAAAAUUUAGUACUGGCCCUGCCACAGGGUAAGGUUUUGCCCUACACAUGAUGGUUGGGUGGUAGUGGGAGUAAUGGUGGUGGAUUGAGAUGGUGGAGGGGUGGUGGCCAUGAUGGUGCGUAUGUUUUUUUUUUUUCUUUCUCAAUAAAAA
rnacentral:lncRNA from 1 species